rnacentral:rRNA from 1 species
GUACUUUUUGUAGAACGGUCCGGCGAGUUAUAGUAACGAGCAAGCUUAAGGUAUUCAGUACCGGAGGCGAAGCGAAAGCGAGUCUGAAUAGGGCGCAUGAAGUUCGUUGCCAUAGACCCGAAACCGGGUGACCUAACCAUGAGCAGGCUGAAGUGAGAGUAAAAUCUCAUGGAGGGCCGAACGCACGUUCGUUGCAAUGACCGGCGAUGACUUGUGGUUAGCGGAGAAAUUCCAAUCGAACUCGGAGAUAGCUGGUUCUCCCCGAAAUAGCUUUAGGGCUAGCGUUAGUUUAGAUUACCGGAGGUAAAGCACUGAAUGGUUUAGGGGCUGAUAAAGUUACCGACGCCUAUCAAACUCUGAAUGCCGGAUAAUUGAUGACUAGCAGUCAGACAGUGUGAGAUAAGUUUCAUUGUCAAAAGGGAAACAGCCCAGACCCACAGCUAAGGUCCCAAAUGUAUGCUAAGUGGAAAACGAUGUGGAAUUGCGAAAACAACCAGGAUGUUGGCUUAGAAGCAGCCACUCAUUAAAAGAGUGCGUAAUAGCUCACUGGUCGAGUGACUCUGCGCGGAAAAUAUAACGGGGCUAAGCAUGAAACCGAAGCUUGGGCUUGUCGUAAGACAGGGGUAGGGGAGCGUCGAGUAUGGGGUGAAGUCAGAGCGGAAGCACUGGUGGACUGUACUCGAGUGAGAAUGCCGGAAUGAGUAGCGAGAAUUAUGUGGGAAUCAUAAUGGCCGAAAAUCUAAGGUUUCUUGGGGAAGGUUCGUCCGCCCAAGGUAAGUCGGGAGCUAAGCUCAGGCCGAGAGGCGUAGGCGAUGCACAUACGGUAGAAAUUCCGUAACCACCGAAACUUAAACAGAGGGACACUUCGAAAUAGCGGAACCCGGGCGUUGGUUGACCCGGGCGAAAGGGAGCGAAAUAAGAGUAGCGAAGUCCGCGAUGUUCGGAGGCGAGAAAAGCUCUGAGGUAUGCUAAGGUGCCCGUACCGCAAACCGACACAGGUAGAUGAGGAGAGAAUCCUAAGGCCAACGGGAGAAGGGUUGUUAAGGAACUCGGCAAAUUGACCCCGUAACUUCGGAAGAAGGGGAGCCCCCUACGGGGGGUCGCAGAGAAAUGGCCCAAGCAACUGUUUACCAAAAACACAGGUCUAUGCUAAAUCGAAAGAUGACGUAUAUGGGCUGACGCCUGCCCGGUGCCGGAAGGUUAAGAGGAGAUGUCAGCGCAAGCGAAGCAUUGAAUUGAAGCCCCGGUAAACGGCGGCCGUAACUAUAACGGUCCUAAGGUAGCGAAAUUCCUUGUCAGGUAAGUUCUGACCCGCACGAAUGGCGUAAUGAUUUGGGCACUGUCUCAACAGCCCGCCCGGCGAAAUUGUAGUACUGGUGAAGAUGCCAGUUACCCGCAACUAGACGGAAAGACCCCAUGGAGCUUUACUGCAGCUUAAUACUGAAAUUCGGUAGUACAUGUACAGGAUAGGUGGGAGACUGAGAAAUACAGGCGUCAGCUUGUAUGGAGUCGCUGUUGGGAUACCACUCUUGUACUGCUGGGUUUCUAACCUGCGGCCGUGAAUCCGGUCGGGGGACACUGUUAGGCGGGCAGUUUGACUGGGGCGGUCGCCUCCAAAAGAGUAACGGAGGCGCUCAAAGGUCAGCUCAGCAUGGAUGGAAACCAUGCAAGUGAGUGCAAACGCAAAAGCUGGCCUAACUGCGAGACUGACGGGUCGAGCAGUAACGAAAGUUGGAGUUAGUGAUCC